rnacentral:rRNA from 1 species
UACGUAGGUGGCAAGCGUUGUUCGGAAUUAUUGGGCGUAAAGGGCGCGUAGGCGGUUUGUUAAGUCGGCUGUGAAAGCCCGGGGCUCAACCCCGGAGGGUCAGCCGAUACUGGCAGACUAGAGUACGGAAGAGGUAGCUGGAAUUCCCGGUGUAGCGGUGAAAUGCGCAGAUAUCGGGAGGAACACCGGUGGCGAAGGCGGUUCUCUGGGCCUGACCUGACGCUGAGGAGCGAAAGCGUGGGGAGCGAACAGG